AUUGAACGCUGGCGGCAUGCCUUACACAUGCAAGUCGAACGGCAGCACGGGUGCUUGCACCUGGUGGCGAGUGGCGAACGGGUGAGUAAUACAUCGGAACGUACCUUAUCGUGGGGGAUAACGCAGCGAAAGCUGUGCUAAUACCGCAUACGCCCUGAGGGGGAAAGCGGGGGAUCGCAAGACCUCGCGCGAUUAGAGCGGCCGAUGCCUGAUUAGCUUGUUGGUGGGGUAAAAGCCCACCAAGGCGACGAUCAGUAGCUGGUCUGAGAGGACGAUCAGCCAUACGGGGACUGAGACACGUACCGGACUCUUACGGGAGGCAGAAGUGGGGAAUUUGGGAAAAUGGGGGCAACCCUGAUCCAGCAAUGCCGCGUGAGUGAAGAAGGCCUUCGGGUUGUAAAGCUCUUUUGUCAGGGAAGAAACACCGGCUCUAACACAGUCUGGGAAUGACGGUACCUGAAGAAUAAGCACCGGCUAACUACGUGCCAGCAGCCGCCGUAA
rnacentral:rRNA from 1 species